GGGGGCGUUUAGAUUCGACAAACCUGAAGUAUUCUGAAUUGCAAGCAGUGGAAGCUUAGUCACCACUUAAAUCCUCAAAGCAAAAAACAAAUAACAAAUCAAAUGUUAUUUCUAUGCGCGAAUGGAAGAAAUCUAAAGCAAAUCACCGCAAGGUAGUUGCUAUAGGUGACCGUCGAGCUCAAAAACAAGCUGCCUAGUUUCUAGGUAUCGCAUACAGAGCGUAAGCUUGGCUACCCGCCCAAACUCUGAAAAACACGGUGGCUGCAGUGAUUAAGUUUCUUGGUUUAGUAAUUCACUUAAGCUCAAAACCAAAACACCGGAGGUUUUUUGUACCAUUGAUCAGCGGUUCUGGUCAAAUAACAAAAUAAGCUUGUAGAUAUUUAGAGUAAAUCAUUUUUGGACAGGGGGGGCAGUUCCUCCUCGCCUCCAGAU
rnacentral:tmRNA from 2 species